rnacentral:rRNA from 1 species
GAUGAACGCUGGCGGCGUGCCUAAUACAUGCAAGUCGAGCGAACGGACGAGAAGCUUGCUUCUCUGAUGUUAGCGGCGGACGGGUGAGUAACACGUGGAUAACCUACCUAUAAGACUGGGAUAACUUCGGGAAACCGGAGCUAAUACCGGAUAAUAUUUUGAACCGCAUGGUUCAAAAGUGAAAGACGGUCUUGCUGUCACUUAUAGAUGGAUCCGCGCUGCAUUAGCUAGUUGGUAAGGUAACGGCUUACCAAGGCAACGAUGCAUAGCCGACCUGAGAGGGGGAUCGGCCACACUGGAACGGAGACACGGUCCAGGCUCCUACGGGAGGGAGCAGUAGGGAAUCGUCCGCAAUGGGCGAAAGCCUGACGGAGCAACGCCGCGUGAGUGAUGAAGGUCUUCGGAUCGUAAAACUCUGUUAUUAGGGAAGAACAUAUGUGUAAGUAACUGUGCACAUCUUGACGGUACCUAAUCAGAAAGCCACGGCUAACUACGUG